UACGUAGGGUGCGAGCGUUUAAUCGGAAUUACUGGGCGUAAAGGGCGCGUAGGCGGCCAGCACAAGUCAGUUGUGAAAUCUCCGAGCUUAACUCGGAAAGGUCAACUGAUACUGUGCGGCUAGAGUGCGGAAGGGGCAACUGGAAUUCUUGGUGUAGCGGUGAAAUGCGUAGAUAUCAAGAGGAACACCUGCGGCGAAGGCGGGUUGCUGGGCCGACACUGACGCUGAUGCGCGAAAGCUAGGGGAGCGAACGGG
rnacentral:rRNA from 1 species